rnacentral:rRNA from 1 species
UCAGCUAGUUGGUGAGGUAACGGCUCACCAAGGCGUCGACGGGUAGCCGGCCUGAGAGGGUGCCCGGCCACACUGGGACUGAGACACGGCCCAGACUCCUACGGGAGGCAGCAGUGGGGAAUAUUGCACAAUGGGCGCAAGCCUGAUGCAGCAACGCCGCGUGAGGGUCGACGGCCUUCGGGUUGUAACCUUCUUCUAGCAGGGAAGAAGCGAAAGUGACGGUACCUGCAGAAAAAGCACCGGCUAACUACGUGCCAGCAGCCGCGGUAAUACGUAGGGUGCAAGCGUUAUCCGGAAUUAUUGGGCGUAAAGAGCUCGUAGGCGGUUUGUCACGUCUGCUGUGAAAACGCGAGGCUCAACCUCGCGCCUGCAGUGGGUACGGGCAGACUAGAGUGCGGUAGGGGAGAUUGGAAUUCCUGGUGUAGCGGUGGAAUGCGCAGAUAUCAGGAGGAACACCGAUGGCGAAGGCAGAUCUCUGGGCCGUAACUGACGCUGAGGAGCGAAAGGGUGGGGAGCAAACAGGCUUAGAUACCCUGGUAGUCCAUGCCGUAAACGUUGGGCACUAGUUG